UGCUUUUCUUUGAACCUCUGUGUCUGGAACGUGGGCCCUGGGGCUGACGUCCUGAAUGCGCACGGGGAAGCGUGCCCACUGAACCCUGGUCCCGCAGGGUGAGAGCCAAGGGGGGCUCCGAGCGGGGCGGGGCGGCUCAGGGAAGGCCUCCAGAGGCAGGCGGGGGGACUCUGGAGAGCUGACGACCUUGGAGGAAAGGGGGUGCAGGCAGGGGAAGCUGGGGUGCUCAGGCGUGGAGGCAGAACAUUCACCGGCUCCCUUCUUUGGAGGGUACCUGGUGCUCGUGCAGUAGCCAACAGGGCAGAUCGGCUCCCGCCCCUGCCGUCGGGGAGGGGGAGGCGGAGGAGGGCAGCGAGCAAAGGCAGGCUUUGAUAAUCUCUGCUCCUGGAUGUGCGCGGGUGGAGCCCGCGGGCAGAACAAGUGCAGCGGGCGUGAAGGGCACCGCCAGGCCAGCCAGCCCAGAGGUGCACGGAGAGGGGCCGUGACUCACUCCAGGUCUCCAUACAGAGACGUCAGUCAGUCCCCUGGACAGAGAGUGCAGUGCGCCCCAGCUCUGGAGUGGGUCCGUCACUUGUCUGCGAGCUGGCCCGCCAGUCAUGAUGAGGCUCGGGUGUCUUCUCAUCAGGACAACCAAACAGCCACACGUGAGCAUCAGAGGGGUCUUUGGAGCUGCGUCUGUUUCGUGGCCUGUCCCUAACCAUCCUCCCCUCCCCCAGCACGGCCCGGCCGCGGCUCACACAGCACCCGGACCCCAGCUUGCUGGGAGUCCCCUCCACCCCGCCCCGCCCCCC
rnacentral:lncRNA from 1 species